rnacentral:rRNA from 1 species
UACAGAGGGUGCAAACGUUGUUCGGAAUACUGGGCGUAAAGCGCGUGCAGGCGGCCUUGCAAGUCGGACGUGAAAUCCCACGGCUCAACCGUGGAAGUGCAUUCGAAACUGCGAGGCUGGAGUCCUGGAGAGGAAAGUGGAAUACGUCGGUGUAGAGGUGAAAUUCGUAGAUAUCGAGUGGAACACCGGUGGCGAAGGCGG